ACGGAAGAGAAGAUGGGGUCUGAGGGGUACCAAAGUGCUCACAGUGCAGGUAGUCUGGGCUUUUCUCUACUGUAGUGUGGGCACUUCCGGUAACCCUCGGACAGCGAGUCUUAGCACGCCG
rnacentral:pre_miRNA from 12 species